AAAUUUCCAAUAGCGGAGGAAAAGAAACUAACAAGGAUUCCCCUAGUAACUGCGAGUGAAGCGGGAAAAGCUCAAAUUUAAAAUCUGGCAGCUUUGGCUGUCCGAGUUGUAGUCUGGAGAAGCGUUUUCUGUGCCGGACCGUGUACAAGUCUCUUGGAACAGAGCGUCAUAGAGGGUGAGAAUCCCGUCUUUGACACGGACUGCCGGUGCUUUGUGAUGCGCUCUCAAAGAGUCGAGUUGUUUGGGAAUGCAGCUCAAAAUGGGUGGUAAAUUCCAUCUAAAGCUAAAUAUUGGCGAGAGACCGAUAGCGAACAAGUACCGUGAGGGAAAGAUGAAAAGCACUUUGGAAAGAGAGUUAAACAGUACGUGAAAUUGCUGAAAGGGAAACGCUUGAAGUCAGUCGCGUCGUCCGGAACUCAGCCUGGCUUUUGCCUGGUGUACUUUCUGGUUGACGGGCCAGCAUCAAUUUUGAUCGUCGGAGAAAGGCCUCAGGAAUGUGGCACCUUCGGGUGUGUUAUAGCCAGGGGUUGCAUACGACGGUUGGGAUUGAGGAUCUCAGCGCGCCUUAUGGUCGGGGUUCGCCCACGUCCGCGCUAGGUGGCGCCG
rnacentral:rRNA from 1 species